rnacentral:rRNA from 1 species
GAUGAACGCUGGCGGCGUGCCUAAUACAUGCAAGUCGAGCGAACGGACGAGAAGCUUGCUUCUCUGAUGUUAGCGGCGGACGGGUGAGUAACACGUGGAUAACCUACCUAUAAGACUGGGAUAACUUCGGGAAACCGGAGCUAAUACCGGAUAAUAUUUUGAACCGCAGGGUUCAAAAGUGAAAGACGGUCUUGCUGUCACUUAUAGAUGGAUCCGCGCUGCAUUAGCUAGUUGGUAAGGUAACGGCUUACCAAGGCAACGAUGCAUAGCCGACCGGAGAGGGUGAUCGGCCACCCUGGAACUGGGACACGGACCAGACUCCUACGGGAGGCAGCAGUAGGGAACCGUCCGCAGUGGGCGAAAGCCUGACGGAGCAACGCCGCGUGAGUGAUGAAGGUCUUCGGAUCGUAAUACUCUGUUAUGAGUGAAGAACAUAUGUGUAAGUAACUGUGCACAUCUUGACGGUACCUAGUCAGAAAGCCCCGGCUAACUACGUG